rnacentral:lncRNA from 1 species
GGAUGUGCAGAAGGCCAAACCCUGCCCCAGUGCCCUGUGCCAGCCUGGCUGGGCCCUGCACUGCCCCUGGCUCUGUGCAGACCAUGGUGGGGACAAAGGACCCAGGCCCGGGGACCCUGCCCCGGGGUGAGCCCUGGGGUUCUCCCUGGGGCUCACCCUGCCGUGGGCUCACCCUGGGGCUCAUUCUGCCCCAGGGCUCACCCUGCUCUGGUGUUCAUCCUUCCCUGGGGCUCUCCCUGCCCUGGGGUUUAUCCUGCCUUGGGGCUCACCCUGGGGCUCACCCUGCCCCGGGGCUCACCCUGCCCCGGGGCUCACCCUGCCCUGGGCUCACCCUGCCAUCCCCCUCUCCUAGGUCAGGGCUCUGUGCCAGGAGAUGCACAAGCAGAUCGAGGGCUGGAAGGCAGAGCCCAUGGCAGAGAACAUCUGGAGCAUCCAGCAGUCCCUUCCCUUGGUGAGCUGCCACUCUGGAGCUGCCCCUCACUGCUCUGCUCUGCUGCCCUGCAGCCCUUGGAGGCUCCCAGUGUGAAGGGCACCAGGCAGGAAGGGUGUGGAAUUCCAGGAGUGGAAUGUGGGAGCUCAUCCCAGCCCACCUGGAGCUCCCUGCACUCCUGCCAGCCUCUCUCCACCCCAGAGGAGGUGGCACAUUGUACAUGGUGUGCUGGGACAUGCUGCAGGGUUUGCUGGUGGGCAGCAAAGCAGAAGGAGGAAGAGGAGGCUGAGAUCUGCCUGUGGAGUGGGACUGCAGCCCCCAGUACCUCCUGUGUGCCCCAAGGUCUCUGCUCCUGUUCCCUGCACAUCCCACCAGGAGGCACAGCCUGGCACAGGCAGAGCCAGGGCAGCUCCAGUGAGCUCUGUUUGCUGCUCAGAAAAGGGCUGAGCUCAGGGGGAUGGGAGAAACAGCAGGAGGUGGAGACUGCCUGGGCCAGGCUGCCCUGGAUCCCACCCACCACAGCCCCUCCAUCCCACCCCAGCCUCUCCUUGGUGCCCUGGAUCCCACCCCAGCCCCUCCAUCCCACCCCAGCCCCUCCUUGGUGCCCUGGAUCCCACCACAGCCCCUGGAUCCCACCCCAGCCCCUCCUUGGUGCCCUGGAUCCCACCCCAGCCCCUCCAUCCCACCCCAGCCUCUCCUUGGUGCACGUGGGCACCCAAAACCCUUGGUUUGGGAGGAACCUUUUGAAAUUCAGCAAAGGCAAGUGCAGGGUCCUGUGCCCUGGGGUAUUAAUCCAGGAUCCCCCAGCACCCACAGCUCCAUGCCAUGGGUGCCCCAGCACGAGGCCACCCACAGCACAGACCCUGUGUCCAACACAGCUGAGUGCCAUGGGGACAGUGCUGGCUUUGGGGACAGCUCUGGCCCUGUUCCCUCUGGCUGUCACAGCCAGGAGCUGUGUGAUGCUCUGGCAUCAGACCCAUUUAGCCAGUGAUGGAGCUGUGGGGGUGCUGGUGGUGUCCUCCCAAUGGUUUCCCUCAUUCAGGAGUGGCAGCUCCAGGAUGGAGCCCCUCUGA